GAAGGAGAGACCUGAGUACUCGCAGGAGGAGUGCUCACCUUCGGGCGAGACAGGGAGAUGAGUUGCCGGGGGAUCAGGACCGGCUGCUACCCCGACAAAGAUAAAAGGCUGUCAGAUCCCGCCCCAGGUUGCGGGAGCAACAUUGCUGUAUGCUAGAUCCUGUACCUGUCCUUGCCUGGUUUCCUGCCUCGUAUCCUGCCUUGGCCCUGUCUGACUGACUCCCAGCAGAUCCUUCAGAUUCUGGUCCAGUCCUGGACUGCGUUUCACGGGUUACCCCCAGGACCAGCACAGCAACGAAUAGGGAGAAGGAGAUUAUGCAGGCAGGACUUUGUUUAAUUAGGGCUACAGUGGUACCUUGGUUUUCAAAUGUAAUCCAUUCCGGAAGUCCGUUCGAAUUCCAAAAUGUUUGAAAACCAAAAACUGAAAGCGGAAGCCUCAAAAUUGAAGCCUCAAUAUGGAAAACUCAAAACAGAAGCUGCGUUUCCUUUUCAAUUUCCAGGGCCUGUUCGAAAACCAAGGCGUUUACUUCCUGGUUUUUGGUGUUCGAGUUCCGAAACGUUCAACUAAAGAGGCUCUCGAAAACCGAGGUACUACUGUACUUUAAAAUGAAGCCAUUUUAAAGACAGGAUCUUAAAAACCUUAAGAAACAAGUUCUCAGCAGGGAAUAGAGGGAUCUGUCUGUUUUUGUUCUCUUCUGUUCCCCACAUGUCCUUGUCAUCGAUUCAUUCUCUCCCAUUUCCUUUCUUUCCCCUUUUAUUUUUCUAACCUUUUGGCAAUUAUUAACUAUAAACAACAAAACUCUGCCCCUCCCCCCAAAAAAACCCUUCAAAUCAUAAUAUUUUGCAUUCUGCCCCAUGUUUCAGAGAUGGAGGGUGGGUUGGUAUACCACCCACUAGAGGUCAGGCACAAUCCAAACCAUCAAUAGUUUUGAAUUCACAUAUAUGCUUCAUGCAGCAUGAAUUAGGCAAGUUCACAUUAGCACGUGGACCAAAGAGAAUUCUUGCUCCAUUCCUGUUUGUUGACAACUUGAAAUAUAUAUAUAUAUAUAUAUAUACACACACACACACACACACACACACACACACACACACACACAUAGGCUUUUUAAUACUUGCUGACCAGCUUCUAUAAUGCAUGCAGAUGGAACAAGGAGGGAUUUAUUCAUUCACUUUGCCAUUUGGAAGACAAAAAGCUCCCUCAUGGCACAGGGAAAAUGGAGGAAAACAUGCUUGGCAGAGAUGUGGAGUUUUUCAAGGCUAUUUCUGGGAAGUGUUUGCAACUCUCUGCUUAGAACUGACUGCUGCAGAACACUGACUGCUGUCUGCCGAAAAUGCAUCUUUUGGCCACGUACAAUUGGGAAGGGUGUAGAAUGAAGGACUGAGGCGGUAGUGAAAAUUUGGCUCAAAUGCACUAUCGGAGGAAGUUCAGGGUUUGUUUCUUUUAAAACUUCCCUCCCAGGCUGACUGAUGAUGUUUUCGGGUGCGUUCAAACGUGAGGAAUACUGCAUUAGUUUUCCUGAUCAAACCUUGAUGCUAGAUUACUGUAAUGCACUAUUUGUGGGGCUGCCCUUGGGUCUAGUUUGCAAAGUCCAACGGGCACAGAAUUCUGCAGCCAGACUGCUUCAGGUUGAGAAUGUGGGACCCCUUUGUUAAAACAGCUGAACUGGCUGCCCAUUUACUAUUGAGCCAGGCUCAAGGUAUUAAUUGUAUUAAUUAACAAACCAAAUAACUUAGGUCCAGGGUGCCUCAGGGACCACCUGAACGCUUACACCUCAGCUCAAGUGUCUGAGAUCAUCUGCAGGAGUGUCUUUGGUCAUUCCCCAGGUUGGGGAGGCUUGCUAGACAACAAUGAGAAAUGGCGCCUUUAGCGUCAUUGGCCCAGUCCUGUGGAACUCUCUGCCACUAGAGAUUCAACGGGUGCCUUCUGUACCAACUUUUAAAUGCCUGCUGAAAACUUUUCCAUUCUGACAGCCCUAUGAAUGCAUCCCCCAACAUGGCUUAUUGAUGUUUACUUUAAAAUAUCUUUUUGCAGAACUGUCAAAACUGACAUACAAGCUAUGGGACAAGGAUAACUGUGACUUUAACGAUGAAUGGGAACCCCUUUACAAAGUAUUUGAAGACGCAACAAAGCGAACUGGACUCCUUGGCUGGUUUUGAAUAAACAUUCACAAACUUUUUAUUGAUAAUUAUCAGCUAAAUAGUUUGAGGAUCUAUACAACUGUGUAACAUGCAGAAAACAGCAUUUUUAGAGAAAUCAAAGACUGGAACUGAGGG
rnacentral:lncRNA from 1 species